GUCGGAAUUGCUAGUAAUCGCGGAUCAGCACGCCGCGGUGAAUACGUUCCCGGGCCUUGUACACACCGCCCGUCACACCAUGAGAGUCUGUAACACCCAAAGCCGGUGGGAUAACCUUUAUAGGAGUCAGCCGUCUAAGGUAGGACAGAUGAUUAGGGUGAAGUCGUAACAAGGUACC
rnacentral:rRNA from 1 species